rnacentral:rRNA from 1 species
GGGUGCGAUCAUACCAGCAAUAAUGCACCGGA